CAGUCGCCGCGGUAAUACGGAGGGGGCUAGCGUUGUUCGGAAUUACUGGGCGUAAAGCGCACGUAGGCGGCUUGGUAAGUUAGAGGUGAAAGCCUGGAGCUCAACUCCAGAAUUGCCUUUAAGACUGCCGAGCUAGCAGGUGAGAGAGGUAAGUGGAAUUCCGAGUGUAGAGGUGAAAUUCGUAGAUAUUCGGAAGAACACCAGUGGCGAAGGCGGCUUACUGGCUCAUACUGGACGCUGAGGUGCGAAAGCGUGGGGAGCAAACAGGAUUAGAUACCCCUGUAGUCCCUGUCUCUUAUAA
rnacentral:rRNA from 1 species